GCUGCUGCUUUCUAAGUUGCAUAAAAAUAAACUCCACUCCAUAAAAGCUGCCACAGUGCGUGCUCUCUCAUCCCUGGGCUCCAGGCGUGAUCUACACCACCACCCCCCCCUGCCUUUUAGGUCAGCCACUCAUGCAUUAGGAAGACAUCCCUCCCAAAAUAACUCGGCCCUCCCCCAAAGCACAGAGUUGAGCAGCCUACCUUUGUUCUGGAGUUGCAGAUAAUAACAGGCAAGCCUCAAGACCAUGAGGAUUUGGAAAAGAUCAGGAGAGUUGAAGAAAAAGAAGAAGGAAAAGAAAUACUCCAAGUAGAGAAGAAUUGGAAGAGACAACAGGAAAACCCUUCUAAUGAACUGUAGUGGCUGCCACAGGAUCGGGGGUGUCUUCACCAGUGUUUACACCAGCCAUGCUGCCAGUAAACUGGGUCUUCGGGGACAUCAGCUCUCCUGGAGAAAGCGCUCUGCUCUACCAACUCUAAUCACCCAAGCCAUCUGGAAAAAGAGUGACAUUAUGGAAGAUUUCUUACACAGUGAACACACGCUAAUUGACAUAUCUUAAGUCCUGGAGAAAAAUCACUUCCUUAAGGGAACUUGAGUAAUCAACGUGUAAUUAGCCAAUUCUCCUGGCAUGGAAGAAGGCUCCCUUGUCACUUGAGAACUUAUCACUAAAGAAAAUUAUUCUUAGUCUUUAGAGGCUCCCUGAAGAAAAACACCAGCCCUUCACACCUACUGUGUGUGAAUUCUGUGCAAGGCUUUUACUAAAGUGAUUUGCUUAUACAACCUCAUCUAGUCUUCCAACAACUCUGUGGGGGAGAUACUAUAAUUUAUCCAAAUUUCUGAGGAGAAGAAACAGAAGCAAAGAGAGGUAAAACAGAAUGUCCCAGGCCAAGAGCUGUUAAUGGAAAACCUGGUCGCACAGUGGGUCAAUGGUUAUAUGCAUGGCCCCGGCUAUAAAACGUGGAUAACUGCAACCAAGUGAUAAACAUUUCAUGUUCUAAGACAUAAUGGAAGAAGCCUGGGCUCAGAGCACAGGACACCCAGUCACAUGAGCUGUGCCUGGUAACCGAAGACAGGAUUCUGUGUCUCAUUCUCAAGAGCUAUGGAUGCUCCCAUUCAGGUGACAGUCACCAUCACAAGUAGGCACAGAUGUCGCUUUAGCGUUGCCUGUCUCCGCACCCUGGAGGAUGGAACGGGGGCAAUGCCUGUAGCACCUCGUGCUUGCUGGGUUCCCCAGUGUUUCAACACCAAACGAACAAAAGAGGUAAAUACACUUCCAGGGAAGUUGUAAAAAAAAAAAAAAGGAAGCACGGGUCAGAAAAAAAUAGCUUUGAAAUACUGGAAGGCAAACUGGCGAAAUGGAUAGGUGCAGCACACCUACGGCGUGGGGGAGAGGGAAAGCAAGGCGGCAUGCAGCUUAGGGUAGUGAAGAACCAUCAGCCAGCCUGACUAUACACUUACUGGCUGUGUGACCCUGAGUAACUAGUUCGACUUCUCUGAGCCUGAAGUUUCCCAUCCAUAAUGUGGAAAUGAGAGAAGGAUCUAACAUUUUGGGUUGCAAUGGAAGUCCAAUAAAAUGGUACAUGUCAAAGUUCUCACCUAGUACACAGUCAGUGCUCACUAACAGUUACCUAUCCUCCCCCUCCACUUGCUCCUCAUCAGUGCUGACUGAUGAUGAAUUGCAGAAUUAUUGCACAGGCCCUAGCCUAGUGCUCGGCAUGCACUUGGUACUCAGUAAGUGCUCGUUCCUUGGUUUUCCCAUCUCUCUUCCCGCCACAAAUAACUCAAAGAUUUAAUUCUGAUAUGAUGCACCUAUCACAAUUUUUAAAAAUCUGAACAAAUUUAUCCCACUAAAAUGGUUCUGGGUUUGAUGCUAUGGUAAAUUCAUAGAUAGACAAAAUAUCUCUGGACAUACGUGUACAUGACAGGUAUGGUAAAUAACAAAGAGAAAACCAUGCAUUUAAAUAUACGUAAAUGAUGGGGUGCCUGGGUGGCUCAGUCGGUUAAAUGUCCGACUUCAGCUCAGGUCAUGAUCUUGCGGUCCGUGAGUUCGAGCCCCGUGUCGGGCUCUGUGCUGACAGCUCAGAGCCUGGAGCCUAUUUCAAAUUCUGUGUCUCCCUCUCUCUGACCCUCCCCCGUUCAUGCUCUGUCUCUCUCUGUCUCAAAAAUAAAUAAACAUUAAAAAAAAUUUUUUUAAAUAAAUAAAUAUACGUAAAUGAACAUAUAUUUUCAAAUAUUAUACAUGCAAAGAUACCCCUACCCAUUUGCUAAAUUCUCUGUGUGAUGAGGCAAGAGUUAAUUUUAAUUUUUAAAAUAUUUCUUAACAGUUCAAAUUUUCUGCUAUAAAAGUAUACUCCUUAUAGAAAUUGGAGGACGACAUAGGUUUUCAAAAGAUAAAAAAGAGAAGAAUGACCCAACUUCUAUCCUCUUGAAUUGGUUUUCCAACAGCUGCUAAUUUGUCAACCAUGUAAAUGGCAACAAAUCUUUAAGAAGUAAGUAAUUUUCUGAACAUUUAACUAACCUAACCUCCAUGCCCUUAAUAAGUUACUGUUCACUAUUUUUCCCUCCUAACUUCCUCUUCUCACCAGGAAUAAAUUCUUCCCCCAAUUUCAACCCUUUCUUUUUUUCAAAAAUAUCUCAGGGGACAUCUUUAACCUCCUCCCACCCCAUUCAUGGUGUGACUAAAGUCUACAGAUGGGUUGGGAACACAAAAAUAAAUAACUUAUUAAGAGUCAUGACCACUGGGCUGGCCUCAUUCAUGGAGGUUUCAUGGACUGGCGUUUGCUGAAAAGUUUUUCCUUUUUGGUUGACUGGCCUCAUAGAGCCCCGUGAAUGCCAGGACUUAUGAUAAGCAACGACAUACUUAACUGUUACAUAUUAAUGUUCAUGAUAAUGCAAUCUUUCAUUUGGGUGAUUUAAAAGUCCCUCUAGUCCGACUUACAGUUAGAUAUACACUGAAUGCUUCAUCAAUCAUAACCAUUUUUAUUCUCCAUCUUGUGCAAAAUACUAGAGAAGGUGAAUUUCAACUACACACUGAAGAGGGCUUUCCUAUUAGCCCUGAAAAAUUUCUCUCUUGUCAUUUAUACAUUGGAUUCCCAGAGUUCCUGCCUAAGCAAUCUGUUCACCUGCACCUUUCACUACAGCAGAUCUUAUCUACAGAGGAAAAGGAAAUCCACGUUCAUAUCUCUUCUACAGGGCCAAAUCUUCCUUAUCUUACAGAGAGAAGAAAGCAUGUCUCAGUUAUGGACUAGACAAAACGCCUGGCAUCUCAACAUGUGAAACGUUUGUGAGCAAGCAGCUUGAGAGGGUCGGGAUGACUCAAAACGAAGGUAAAGCAGGAUUUAGAAAUAAUUCGCACCAAGAACCAAUGAGCCCCCCACCGUCAGCAGUAUGCAGUGAUCACAGAAAAUUCUCAUAAAUGCACUUGAAAGAGACUACACCUCCCUUCCAUUCCUGUAAGGGCUUGUCAUAGUUUCAGGGCCAAAAUCUUCCCGCAGCUGACCUUGGACCUACAAACCAUGAGGCAAACCAAAAUGGAGGAAGGGAUCAAAUCAGUCACCAUGCAACUUGGCAACUCCAAUUACCUUCAAAGUUAGAAACCCAACACCUUUUAUCGUACUGCUACAGCAGUCCCCUAUGCAGCCUGCUGCGCCCUCACGUACGACACACAAAUCAGUGCAACUAUAAACACAUAAAAUCUGUGCCCCAAAAUGCUCUGCUUAGGGUACAGGAGAAUUAAGACUAUCCCUCUGAAAAUUUUUUUUAAUAAGAUCCUAUAUUCAAUAUUUAUAUUUUGAUUUUAUGACCUUUUCACUUUUAUCCUCUUAAAUUCUCCCAUCUUAGCAAUCUCCUUUGAGGCUAAUAAAUUUAUGUUUUUAUU